rnacentral:rRNA from 1 species
AUUGAACGCUGGCGGCAUGCCUUACACAUGCAAGUCGAACGGUAACAGGUCUUCGGAUGCUGACGAGUGGCGAACGGGUGAGUAAUACAUCGGAACGUGCCUAGUAGUGGGGGAUAACUACUCGAAAGAGUGGCUAAUACCGCAUGAGAUCUACGGAUGAAAGCAGGGGAUCGCAAGGCCUUGUGCUACUAGAGCGGCCGAUGGCAGAUUCGGUAGUUGGUGGGAUAAAAGCUUACCAAGCCGACGAUCUGUAGCUGGUCUGAGAGGACGAUCAUCCACACUGAGACUGCGACACGGCACAGACUCCUACGGGAGGCAGCAGUUGGGGAUUUUGGACAAUGGGCGCAAGCCUGAUUCAGCAAUGCCGCGUGCAGGAUGAAGGCCUUCGGGUUGUAAACUGCUUUUGUACGGAACGAAAAGCCCUGGGUUAAUACCCUUGGGUCAUGACGGUACCGUAAGAAUAAGCACCGGCUAACUACGUGCCAGCCGCCGCGGUAAUAC